rnacentral:rRNA from 1 species
UUUUUAAAACCCAAAAUUAAGUAGUAAAGAAAUCUCCAAAACUUAAAGAAUUUGGCGGUGUUUUAAACUCAUCAGAGGAACCUGCUUUCUAACCGAUACCACACGUUUAUCUUUCCUCUUCUAAAGCUUGUAUAUCGUCGUAAUAACCAUAUUAUAAAAUAAUAGUUAAUAAGGAAAAUAUCCCCAACAUCAGAUCAAGGUUCAGCUAAUGAAGAGGUUUAAGUGGGUUACAAUAUAUACUCAUAUAAAACGAAACUUUUAUUGUAAAUAAAUAAUAAGGCGGAUUUGAAAGUAUUAAUAUUUAAAAUAUUAAUUUGAAUUAGCAAUAAAACAUGC